rnacentral:rRNA from 1 species
AUGGCUCAGGAUGAACGCUGGCGGCGUGCCUAACACAUGCAAGUCGAGCGGAGAUAAGUUGAAGCCUAGCGAUUCUUAUCUUAGCGGCGGAUGGGUGAGUAACACGUGGGUAACCUGCCCUGUACUGGGGGGAUAACAGCUGGAAACGGCUGUUAAUACCGCAUAUGCGCACGGAGCCGCAUGGCCCUGGGCGGAAAGAUUCAUCGGUACAGGAUGGGCCCGCGCCGGAUUAACUUGUUGGCGGGGUAACGGCCCACCAAGGUGAUGAUCCGUAGCCGACCUGAGAGGGUGACCGGCCACAUUGGGACUGAGACACGGCCCAAACUCCUACGGGAGGCAGCAGUGGGGGAUAUUGCACAAUGGGGGAAACCCUGAAUGCAGCGACGCCGCGUGAAGGAAGAAGUAUUUCGGUAUGUAAACUUCUAUCAGCGGGGAAGAAGAUGACGGUACCCGCACAAGAAGCCCCGGCUAACUACGUGCCAGCCGCCGC